CUGAGGGGGUGUCCAGGACAGUGAAGCCACCAAAGAGCGCGUGACAGGAAUGGGGAUGCUCGGGCUGGAGUCGGCAGAGGAAGACAACACGGGCCACGCGGGUGUCUCCACCUCCGCAGAAGCAGUGAGAAGAAAGGAGCAGUCAGGCACAGCUGGGUUCCUCUUCCCCGGAAUGUGAUCUGGAGGAAACGGUUUAACCUCCCAGACCUCCCCACAUCUGUAAAGCAGAGAAGACAGCAGCACUUGCCCGAUGCGGCCAUCUCGAAGGCUCGCCACCCGCGGGAGGCACCGGAAACGGAGCUGCCAGGACCCUUUUCUCAAGAUGGCGCCCAAGGUGGACACUGAGCCAGGCCGCAUCCAGCGGGGAGCCCUGCAUGGGCAGCAGGUGAAGCCCCUUGGAGAUGCCCAGGGAUCCAAAGGCGACAUCAUUGAUGGCAAGGCUGCCCCUCUUGGUCUCUGGGUUUGCCACCGCUCUGGCUUGGAGACAGGUGCUGCAGCCUUCCCAAUGCUGGGCUCACUCUGGACUCGUCAUGAAGUGCUUUCUGCCAGGGCACCCUGGUUGGAAGUUUAGAAGCCCUAAAGGACAGCUACAAUUGUGGCAGCUGUGAGAGAGCAGCUGUUGUUGAUCCACACAUGGGCCAGAAGGUUUAUUCCGAGAGGUUCUGGAAAUCUGCUGGAAGGGAUGACUCCGUUAUGUGGGGAACACACUCAGAUAGUUGCAUAUUCACUCAUCUACACCACACCAUGAAUAAAACUUAGAUUCCAGAUUUUAAACACUGCCAAAGGGCAACUUCCUCCCUUUACCCACUGACCUCACAACUGCCCUCAGCACACAGUCAUCCCAGACCUGCUCCCACAACAGGGCUCCCUCCACUGCUGCGGCCCGGCUCAGGGUCACCCUGGGAAAUGAUGGUUAAAAAAUAAAAAUGACUGAGGUGCCCGGUUCAGCCUUCUGUGCCGAAUGAGCGCAGCAGCCAGGUGCAACCGGAAUGACCGAUGGGGACCAACAGAUGUCCCUCCCACAUGGCACCAGCAGCCAGGGCCCCUGAAGGCCACUGUUCACCUUGGCCCUCAUCCUGCAAACAUGU
rnacentral:lncRNA from 1 species